AUUGAACGCUGGCGGCAUGCUUUACACAUGCAAGUCGAACGGUAACAGGUCUUCGGAUGCUGACGAGUGGCGAACGGGUGAGUAAUGCAUCGGAACGUGCCCAGUCGUGGGGGAUAACGCAGCGAAAGCUGUGCUAAUACCGCAUACGAUCUAUGGAUGAAAGCGGGGGAUCGCAAGACCUCGCGCGAUUGGAGCGGCCGAUGUCAGAUUAGCUAGUUGGUGGGGUAAAGGCCCACCAAGGCGACGAUCUGUAGCUGGUCUGAGAGGACGACCAGCCACACUGGGACUGAGACACGGCCCAGACUCCUACGGGAGGCAGCAGUGGGGAAUUUUGGGACAAUGGGCGCAAGCCUGAUCCAGCAAUGCCGCGUGCAGGAAGAAAGGCCUUCGGGUUGUAAACUGCUUUGUACGGAAGAAAUCGCACAGGCUAAUACUCUGUGUGGAUGACGGUACCAGCACAAGAA
rnacentral:rRNA from 1 species